rnacentral:rRNA from 1 species
AUUGAACGCUGGCGGCAUGCCUUACACAUGCAAGUCGAACGGCAGCACGGGAGCAAUCCUGGUGGCGAGUGGCGAACGGGUGAGUAAUAUAUCGGAACGUGCCCAGUCGUGGGGGAUAACGUAGCGAAGCUACGCUAAUACCGCAUACGAUCUAUGGAUGAAAGCGGGGGAUCGCAAGACCUCGCGCGAUUGGAGCGGCCGGAUAUCAGAUUAGGUAGUUGGUGAGGUAAAGGCUCGCCAAGCCGACGAUCUGUAGCUGGUCUGAGAGGACGACCAGCCACACUGGACUGAGACACGGCCCA